CCGUUGCCGGGGAACGGUAGCUGUGCUAGUUUCGAACCAAGUCGUCCGUGUAUCCUUUUUCUUUUCUUUUUUUACCACACUCACCUUAUCAUUUUCACCAUACCACAUGGAUUUCACUCUAAGCAUUAAUGAGCAUGGAAUUUAUUUCAUAGCCACUUCAUUUACUCCAUGCUCAUAUGCAACAUCUUCACAAUCCAUCGGUCUCUCCAACAUCACCACAUUCGAGAUCUCCAACCCCCACUUCCUUUCUAUUCAUAAAAACUUUAAAAGGGCGGUUGUCGAUGCAUAUGUCUAUAAUAAAUUUUGCAGAUCUCGUUGAGUUGAUCUUGAUAUAGGUCAGCGUUGGAGGGGAAACCACUUCACUGACAUAAAUUGAUGGUUUCCCAAGGACAAGCUUAG
rnacentral:lncRNA from 1 species